UGAGGAAUAUUGGUCAAUGGCCGGAAGGCUGAACCAGCCAAGCCGCGUGAAGGACGAAGGUGCCAAGCAUUGUAAACUUCUUUUGUCAAGGGACAAAAUCAGGCUCGAGAGCCUGACCGAGGGUACUUGAAGAAAAAGCAUCGGCUAACUCCGUGCCAGCAGCCGCGUAAUAGCACGCU
rnacentral:rRNA from 1 species